rnacentral:rRNA from 1 species
UACGUAGGUGACAAGCGUUGUCCGGAUUUACUGGGCGUAAAGAGCUCGUAGGCGGUUUGGUAAGUCUGGUGUGAAAUCUCCACGCUCAACGUGGAGGGGCCACCCGAUACUGCCAUGACUGGAGUCCGGUAGAGGAGUGUGGAAUUCCCGGUGUAGCGGUGAAAUGCGCAGAUAUCGUAAGGAAGACCAGUGGCGAAGGCGAAUCUCUGGACAGUUACUGACACUGAGGCACGAAGGCCAGGGGAGCAAACGGG